UGGGGAAUUUUGCGCAAUGGACGAAGGUCUGACGCAGCAACGCCGCGUGGGUGAUGAAGGUCUUCGGACUGUAAAACCCUGUCGUCAGGGACGAAGGUGGCAGGACUAAUAAUCCUGUUGCUUGACGGUACCUGGAGAGGAAGCCCCGGCUAACUCUGUGCCAGCAGCCGCGGUAAUACAGAGGGGGCAAGCGUUAUUCGGAAUUAUUGGGCGUAAAGGGCGCGUAGGCGGUUUUUUAAGUCAGAUGUGUAAUCCCCGAGCUCAACUUGGGAACUGCAUCUGAGACUGGAAGGCUAGAGUACUGGAGAGGGUGGUGGUAUCCCUCGUGUAGCGGUGAAGUGCGUAGAGAUGAGGAGGAACACCAGCGGCGAAGGCGGCCUCCUGGACAGUAACUGACGCU
rnacentral:rRNA from 1 species